ACUGCCACCCUCUCCCAGGUCUAGAGAGGGGUACCCACGGUGGAGGGAGGUGGGAGGCCGAGACGGCCCCGGGGGUCGGCGGAGACCCAGCGGGAGCAGGGGGAAAUCGGAAGAGCUGGGGGCAUGGAGCGGGCGAGUUUGGAGCGGAAUGAGCCGGGAGCCCUACGUUGUGGAAGGAAGACAACAGUAUAGGACCAUCAGCAGGACCGGACAGAGAGGGGCACCCCUGGCUGUCCUGGAACUUGUAGACCAGGCUGGCCUUGAACUCAGAAAUCCGCCUGCCUCUGACUCCCGAGUGCUGAGAUUAAAGGUGUGCACCACCACACCCGACAAGGAAGCCUGUUUUAAGAAGUGAUUCCAUGGAGGAGUUCUGCGGCGGCUCAGGGCUUGACUAAACAGUGGACCUCAGGGUCCCAUUUCUCUCAGUAGACAAGAGAGGCUAAACCAGGCUGCAGGUGACAGGAAGAAUUGAAUAAACUGAAAGCAAAGGGCAGCCUUCUAAUUACGCUUCGUGGCUAUGUGGACAACCUGGAGAAGUCUGGAAACGUGAGUGGUGCUAAUCCCCUUUGUAAUGAAAGGCCCGGGUAAAAACAGAUGGGGCAAGUAGGUGUAAUGGGUAUUUCAGGAGCUUGAAUCUGAUGUCACAGCUUGUCUGGAUGGGACGUGCAUCUACUUGCAGAGCUAUGUUCCCAUCUAGUGUAAUUGUGGGUGUUUUAAUUCAGGCGUCACCUCUAUUUUGUCCUCUCUCCACAGCUUUCCUCCUCCAUUUUACUACUUGAGGGAGCAGUGGGUGGGAUACUAGGCAAGUAGCUGCAAUGGCUGGUGCUUUAUGGUUCCCUGGCAUCCCCUGAAUCUGUUAACAUCCCAACCUUCUUGACAGCCAGCCCCACCCCAUCACAUUCUUACUCCUUCCCUUUCCAAGAAAGAAGCCAGAAGCCCGAAGCCAGCAGUAGAGCUCUGACUGGCUUGUAUGCCUAGAAAGGAAGGGCUCUUCUUUCGCCUCACGGGCACAAAUGGGACCCACGAGCGCCGAUUUCAGACUAUUCUGAUCCCUUCAAAAAGAAAGUUAGGAGUCCAGGCUACUGUGAGUGAAUUUGAUUCUAAUUGUUUCAGAGAAUAUGGAAUAAAAUAUCUCAUUUGCAGUUGUUUA
rnacentral:lncRNA from 1 species